UACGUAGGGUCCGAGCGUUGUCCGGAAUUAUUGGGCGUAAAGGGCUCGUAGGCGGUUCGUCACGUCGGGAGUGAAAACUCGGGGCUUAACCCCGAGCCUGCUUCCGAUACGGGCAGACUAGAGGUAGGCAGGGGAGAGCGGAACUCCUGGUGUAGCGGUGGAAUGCGCAGAUAUCAGGAGGAACACCGGUGGCGAAGGCGGGUCUCUGGGCCGAAACUGACGCUGAGGAGCGAAAGCGUGGGGAGCGAACAGG
rnacentral:rRNA from 1 species